rnacentral:rRNA from 1 species
CCUACGGGAGGCAGCAGUGGGGAAUAUUGGGCAAUGGGCGAAAGCCUGACCCAGCAACGCCGCGUGAAGGAAGAAGGCUUUCGGGUUGUAAACUUCUUUUGACAGGGAAGAGCAGAAGACGGUACCUGUCGAAUAAGCCACGGCUAACUACGUGCCCGCAGCCGCGGUAAUACGUAGGUGGCAAGCGUUGUCCGGAGUUACUGGGUGUAAAGGGCGUGUAGCCGGGCUGACAAGUCAGAUGUGAAAUCCGGGGGCUCAACCCCCGAACGGCAUUGGAAACGGUUGGUCUUGAGUGUCGGAGAGGCAGGCGGAAUGCCUGGUGUAGCGGUGAAAGGCGUAGAUAUUAGGAGGAACACCGGUGGCGAAGGCGGCCUGCUGGACGACAACUGACGGUGAGGCGCGAAAGCGUGGGGAGCAAACAGGAUUAGAUACCCCAGUAGUC